CCCCGGUGCCGGCUUAACACAUGCAGGUCGAACGACGAACCUCCUGGGUGGGGAUUAGUGGCGAACGGGUGAGUAACACGUGGGCAAUCUGCCCUGCACUCUGGGACAAGCCCUGGAAACGGGGUCUAAUACCGGAUACUGACCCGCUUGGGCAUCCAAGCGGAUCGAAAGCUCCGGCGGUGCAGGAUGAGCCCGCGGCCUAUCAGCUUGUUGGUGAGGUAAUGGCUCACCAAGGCGACGACGGGUAGCCGGCCUGAGAGGGCGACCGGCCACACUGGGACUGAGACACGGCCCAGACUCCUACGGGAGGCAGCAGUGGGGAAUAUUGCACAAUGGGCGAAAGCCUGAUGCAGCGACGCCGCGUGAGGGAUGACGGCCUUCGGGUUGUAAACCUCUUUCAGCAGGGAAGAAGCGAAAGUGACGGUACCUGCAGAAGAAGCGCCGGCUAACUACGUGCCAGCAGCCGCGGUAAUACGUAGGGCGCGAGCGUUGUCCGGAAUUAUUGGGCGUAAAGAGCUCGUAGGCGGCUUGUCACGUCGGUUGUGAAAGCCCGGGGCUUAACCCCGGGUCUGCAGUCGAUACGGGCAGGCUAGAGUUCGGUAGGGGAGAUCGGAAUUCCUGGUGUAGCGGUGAAAUGCGCAGAUAUCAGGAGGCGUGCACCGGUGGCGAAGGCGGAUCUCUGGGCCGAUACUGACGCUGAGGAGCGAAAGCGUGGGGAGCGAACAGGAUUAGAUACCCUGGUAGUCCACGCCGUAAACGGUGGGCACUAGGUGUGGGCGACAUUCCACGUCGUCCGUGCCGCAGCUGCUACGCGCAUUAAGUGCCCCGCCUGGGGAGUACGGCCGCAAGGCUAAAACUCAAAGGAAUUGACGGGGGCCCGCACAAGCGGCGGAGCAUGUGGCUUAAUUCGACGCAACGCGAAGAACCUUACCAAGGCUUGACAUACACCGGAAAGCAUCAGAGAUGGUGCCCCCCUUGUGGUCGGUGUACAGGUGGUGCAUGGCUGUCGGUGCCAGCUCGUGUCGUGAGAUGUUGGGUUAAGUCCCGCAACGAGCGCAACCCUUGUCCCGUGUUGCCAGCAGGCCCUUGUGGUGCUGGGGACUCACGGGAGACCGCCGGGGUCAACUCGGAGGAAGGUGGGUGUCGACGUCAAGUCAUCAUGCCCCUUAUGUCUUGGGCUGCACACGUGCUACAAUGGCCGGUACAAUGAGCUGCGAUACCGCGAGGUGGAGCGAAUCUCAAAAAGCCGGUCUCAGUUCGGAUUGGGGUC
rnacentral:rRNA from 1 species